GGCCACUUAGCUCAGUUGGUAGAGCACACGACUGAAAAUCGUGGUGUCCCCAGUUCGAAUCUGGGAGUGGCCA
rnacentral:tRNA from 1 species